GACGAACGCUGGCGGCGUGCCUAAUACAUGCAAGUCGAGCGAAGUUUUUCUGGUGCUUGCACUAGAAAAACUUAGCGGCGAACGGGUGAGUAACACGUAAAGAACCUGCCUCAUAGACUGGGACAACUACUGGAAACGAUAGCUAAUACCGGAUAACAGUAUUUCUCGCAUGAGAGAUAUUUAAAAGUUGGUUAUGCUAACACUAUGAGAUGGCUUUGCGGUGCAUUAGCUAGUUGGUGGGGUAAAGGCCCACCAAGGCGACGAUGCAUAGCCGACCUGAGAGGGUGAUCGGCCACACUGGGACUGAGACACGGCCCAGACUCCUACGGGAGGCAGCAGUAGGGAAUCUUCCGCAAUGGGCGAAAGCCUGACGGAGCAACGCCGCGUGAGUGAAGAAGGAUUUCGGUUCGUAAAGCUCUGUUGUUAGGGAAGAAUGGAUAUGUAGUAAC
rnacentral:rRNA from 1 species